rnacentral:rRNA from 1 species
UAAAGGUAUUCCGGUAGACGAUGGGGAUGCGUUCCAUUAGAUAGUAGGCGGGGUAACGGCCCACCUAGUCUUCGAUGGAUAGGGGUUCUGAGAGGAAGGUCCCCCACAUUGGAACUGAGACACGGUCCAAACUCCUACGGGAGGCAGCAGUGAGGAAUAUUGGUCAAUGGGCGAGAGCCUGAACCAGCCAAGUAGCGUGAAGGAUGACUGCCCUAUGGGUUGUAAACUUCUUUUAUAAAGGAAUAAAGUCGGGUAUGCAUACCCGUUUGCAUGUACUUUAUGAAUAAGGAUCGGCUAACUCCGUGCCAGCAGCCGCGGUAAUACGGAGGAUCCGAGCGUUAUCCGGAUUUAUUGGGUUUAAAGGGAGCGUAGAUGGAUGUUUAAGUCAGUUGUGAAAGUUUGCGGCUCAACCGUAAAAUUGCAGUUGAUGCUGGAUAUCUUGAGUGCAGUUGAGGCAGGCGGAAUUCGUGGUGUAGCGGUGAAAUGCUUAGAUAUCACGAGGAACUCCGAUUGCGAAGGCAGCCUGCUAAGCUGCAACUGACAUUGAGGCUCGAAAGUGUGGGUAUCAAACAGGAUUAGAUACCCUGGUAGUCCACACGGUAAACGAUGAAUACUCGCUGUUUGCGAUAUACGGCAA